GGCGAAAGAUUUAUCGGCUUAAGAUGAGCCCGCGUUGGAUUAGCUAGUUGGUGGGGUAAAGGCCUACCAAGGCGACGAUCCAUAGCUGGUCUGAGAGGAUGAUCAGCCACACUGGGACUGAGACACGGCCCAGACUCCUACGGGAGGCAGCAGUGGGGAAUAUUGGACAAUGGGCGGAAGCCUGAUCCAGCCAUGCCGCGUGAGUGAAGAAGGCCUUAGGGUUGUAAAGCUCUUUCACCGGUGAAGAUAAUGACGGUAACCGGAGAAGAAGCCCCGGCUAACUUCGUGCCAGCAGCCGCGGUAAUACGAAGGGGGCUAGCGUUGUUCGGAUUUACUGGGCGUAAAGCGCGCGUAGGCGGAUAG
rnacentral:rRNA from 2 species